AAGGAUCAUUACAGAGUUCGUGCCCUUCGGGGUAGACCUCCCACCCUUUGUAUACCUACCUUUGUUGCUUUGGCGGGCCGUCGCAAGACCGGCGGCUUCGGCUGUCGUGUGCCCGCCAGAGGACCCCAAACUCUGAAUACAGUGUCGUCUGAGUACUAUAUAAUAGUUAAAACUUUCAACAACGGAUCUCUUGGUUCUG
rnacentral:misc_RNA from 1 species